rnacentral:rRNA from 1 species
GAGUUUGAUCAUGGCUCAGAUUGAACGCUGGCGGCAGGCCUAACACAUGCAAGUCGAGCGGAUGAAGGGAGCUUGCUCCUGGAUUCAGCGGCGGACGGGUGAGUAAUGCCUAGGAAUCUGCCUGGUAGUGGGGGAUAACGUCCGGAAACGGACGCUAAUACCGCAUACGUCCUGAGGGAGAAAGUGGGGAUCUUCGGACCUCACGCUAUCAGAUGAGCCUAGGUCGGAUUAGCUAGUUGGUGGGUAAAGGCCUACCAAGGCGGCGAUCCGUAACUGGUCUGAGAGGAUGAUCAGUCACACUGGAACUGAGACACGGUCCAGACUCCUACGGGAGGCAGCAGUGGGGAAUAUUGGACAAUGGGCGAAAGCCUGAUCCAGCCAUGCCGCGUGUGUGAAGAAGGUCUUCGGAUUGUAAAGCACUUUAAGUUGGGAGGAAGGGCAGUAAGUUAAUACCUUGCUGUUUUGACGUUACCCACAGAAUAAGCACCGGCUAACUUCGUGCCAACAGCAG